rnacentral:rRNA from 1 species
UACGGGAGGCAGCAGUGGGGAAUAUUGCACAAUGGGCGAAAGCCUGAUGCAGCUAUGCCGCGUGUAUGAAGAAGGCCUUAGGGUUGUAAAGUACUUUCAUCGGGGAGGAAAAACAAAACUAAUAAUUUUAUUUCUUGACGUUACCCGAAAAAGAAGCACCGGCUAACUCCGUGCCAGCAGCCGCGGUAAUACGGAGGGUGCUAGCGUUAAUCAGAAUUACUGGGCGUAAAGAGCACGUAGGUGGUUUUUUUAAGUCAGAUGUGAAAUCCCUGGGCUUAACCUAGGAACUGCAUUUUGAAACUGAAAUACUAGAGUAUCGUAGAGGGAGGUAGAAUUCUAGGUGUAGCGGUGAAAUGCGUGGAUAUCUGGAGGAAUACCUGUGGCGAAAGCGGCCUCCUAAACGAAUACUGACACUGAGGUGCGAAAGCGUGGGGAGCAAACAGGGAUUAGAUACC